GUGCUGCGUUGGGAGGAGCUGCUGCAUCUUGGCAAGAAGAGGAGCAAGAGGAGGAGAAGGAAGAAUGAAGGAUAGAAUAUCAACACCUUCCCUGUCCGAUUCCUCUUGAUCCAGCUCCAAGGAAUCAAUUACAUACGUAUGCUUCCACAUGAUUAAUGAUGUGCCCACAGGAGAGAAAGUUGAUGGUGGAAGGGUUGCUUGAAUCAGAUGCUAGAUAGUUGCAGUCUUCUAAGGAAAACGGUUCCUACAAUAAAAUGAAAUUCUUGAGCGAUAGGUAUAUAUUGUUUCUUAAGAC